rnacentral:tRNA from 1 species
CGGGAUCGGUGUGCGUAUGUGGUUGAUUUAACGUUAUACACAGUAGAAAGAACUGCCUUCGGGAGGCAGGGGCCGGAGGUUCGAAUCCUCUCAUCCCGACCA